UCCAGNGAAUUUAGCAGAGAUGCUUUAGUGCCUUCGGGAACUCUGAGACAGGUGCUGCAUGGCUGUCGUCAGCUCGUGUUGUGAAAUGUUGGGUUAAGUCCCGNAACGAGCGCAACCCUUUAUCCUUUGUUGCCAGCACGUAAUGGUGGGAACUCAAAGGAGACUGCCGGUGAUAAACCGGAGGAAGGUGGGGAUGACGUCAAGUCAUCAUGGCCCUUACGAGUAGGGCUACACACGUGCUACAAUGGCGCAUACAAAGAGAAGCGACCUCGCGAGAGCAAGCGGACCUCAUAAAGUGCGUCGUAGUCCGGAUUGGAGUCUGCAACUCGACUCCAUGAAGUCGGAAUCGCUAGUAAUCGUAAAUCAGAAUGUUACGGUGAAUACGUUCCCGGGCCUUGUACACACCGCCCGUCACACCAUGGGAGUGGGUUGCAAAAGAAGUAGAUAGCUUAACCUUCGGGAGGGCGUUUACCACUUUGUGAUUCAUGACUGGGGUGAAGUCGUAACAAGGUAGGCGUAGUGCU
rnacentral:rRNA from 1 species